rnacentral:rRNA from 1 species
ACUUUCAGCAACGGAUCUCUUGGCUCUCGCAUCGAUGAAGAACGCAGCGAAUUGCGAUAAGUAAUGUGAAUUGCAGAUUUUCAGUGAAUCAUCGAAUCUUUGAACGCACCUUGNGCUCCUUGGUAUUCCGAGGAGCAUGCCUGUUUGAGUGUCA